rnacentral:rRNA from 1 species
AUGAAAUUAAUAGCCUGGAAUUGCAGAGGCAAAGGUAAGGGCCUGGGUAGUCAAAAGAUGGUGUACCUUGACAAUUUGAUGAGAUCGACGAACGCCCAGGUAACCUUUGUGUCAGAAAUCAAAUCCUCUAAAGUUAAUGCCAAUGAUUUAGUCAAUCGAUUCGAUAUUGUUCAUGCUGAAGUAGUGCCAUCAAGGGGGAAAUCAGGUGGUCUUUGGUUAAUGUGGACAGACGAAGUUCGGGUAAAUGUCCAUAUAGCAAAUUUUCAUGUGAUCUUAGCCUCUGUUGUUAAUAUAGCUUCCAAUGUUGAUUUUCCGUUAAUCUGUAUUUAUGGGGAUCCUCAUCACCACUAUACUAAUCAGAUUUGGAAUUGUAUUACCUCUUUUGUGUAUGAUAAUCAAAGCAAGCCUAUCUUAUGCAUGGGAGAUCUUAAUGAUAUUCUCUAUGAUGAGGACAAGAGUUCUCCCUAUGUUAAUAAAUACCGUAUGCAUGCUUUUCAUGCUUUAGUCAAACAAUAUGGCUUCAUUGAUCUAGGAUACAGUGGCCCUGCUUAUACUUGGACUAAUAAGUGA